UACGAAGGGGGCUAGCGUUGCUCGGAAUGACUGGGCGUAAAGGGCGCGUAGGCGGCGUGGUAAGUCACUUGUGAAAUCUCUGAGCUUAACUCAGAACGGUCAAGUGAUACUGCUGUGCUAGAGUACGGUAGAGGGGAUGGAAUUCCGCGUGUAGCAGUGAAAUGCGUAGAUAUGCGGAGGAACACCGAUGGCGAAGGCAAUCCCCUGGACCCUGUACUGACGCUCAUGCACGAAAGCGUGGGGAGCAAACAGG
rnacentral:rRNA from 1 species